GAAUAUUUCGCAAUGGGCGGAAGCCUGACGCAGCGACGCCGCGUGGGGGAUGACGGCCUUCGGGUUGUAAACCUCUUUCGGCCCCGACGAAGCGUGAGUGACGGUAGGGGUAGAAGAAGCACCGGCCAACUACGUGCCAGCAGCCGCGGUAAUACGUAGGGUGCGAGCGUUGUCCGGAAUUAUUGGGCGUAAAGAGCUCGUAGGCGGUCUGUCGCGUCGGUCGUGAAAACUUGGGGCUUAACCCUGAGCUUGCGGUCGAUACGGGCAUGACUGGAGUUCGGCAGGGGAGACUGGAAUUCCUGGUGUAGCGGUGAAAUGCGCAGAUAUCAGGAGGAACACCGGUGGCGAAGGCGGGUCUCUGGGCCGAUACUGACGCUGAGGAGCGAAAGCGUGGGGAGCGAACAGG
rnacentral:rRNA from 1 species